UUGAAUGCCAUUUUUUAUAAA
rnacentral:piRNA from 1 species